rnacentral:rRNA from 1 species
GAAGCUGGAAUCGCUAGUAAUCGCGGAUCAGAAUGCCGCGGUGAAUACGUUCCCGGGUCUUGUACACACCGCCCGUCACACCAUGGGAGUCGGAAAUGCCCGAAGUCUGUGACCCAACCUUAGGGAGGGAGCAGUCGAAGGCAGGUCGGAUGACUGGGGUGAAGUCGUAACAAGGUAGC